CUCUGCUCAGAGCAAACCAGGGGGAACCCUGGGACGCAGAGCAACGGGACUAAAGAAGAAAGACAAGCUUGAAGAUGAGGGCUUAGUCAACCUUCCAAAGUCAGCCGGGCCGCCAGA
rnacentral:ncRNA from 1 species